rnacentral:misc_RNA from 1 species
CCUGUUUCUGUGAAUACUUCAAAGUCACGUCCUAGUCUUGUAGUUACUGCUCCAGAGUUUUCAAAUUUUGAUGAUGAGGAAGAAGAUGAUGCAGUGGAACCAGUGAUGGAAUCUCCAAAGGAGAAGCAAAGGCAUGUGAUGUCAAUUGAUGAUGCUCUAGUAUCUGCACUUGCUGGAUUCGUAUCUUCGACUUCAAUCCAGUCCCCAAGAUAUUCAAAAACUCUUGCAUUUAAAGCUCCUGAGUUUCCAAAUGGAGAAGGAAAUAAUGACGACAAUACAGUUUCCCCAAAAGGUCAUUGCGAAAUAAGCACAGAACAUCCCACUGGUUUCAGUGAACCCGAAGGGACAGAGUUACCGAAGAGACUUUCAUUUUCAUCUCUAUCCAAUAUUUCUUCUUUAGAAAGUGAAGAGAAUGCAAUGAAGUAUCCUAAUGAUAACUACCGUCUGAAAACGGACAUAGGAGUUGGUGAACAGCUGCAGGACAGUGAGGGGGAUGAAGGUGAUACCCAGGGUACUUGUUUUGACC